UUUUUCCGUUUCUAAACCCUAGGUCUCUUGAAAUCGAUGAAACCCUAGCUCGUCUUUUUCCAUCUAGGGUUAGGUUCGGAAAUCACCUUGGAGGAAGUCGUAUAAAUCGAAGGAUUUCCUCGCGCGAGAGGUCGGAUUUGAUCGGGGAACCAGGUUCCCCAUACAGUCUGGAGCCGAUCGGUGGGAGAAUUUGUUCCAGAUGUGCGCUUUUGAUUCAGUGUUCUAUUGCGGUGCGUUUUGGGAUCAUAUGGCUGGAAUGAUAUUGUUAGAUCCGGAAUUAGGGUUUCCAUCGGUGCCUCAUGUAUGAUGGAUGUUAAAAUUUGGGGGUUUUGGUUGCCUUCAUUUGGAUUGAGGGUCUGUAGAUGGAACUCAGCAUCGAGAAGCCUGUGGUACCCGAUAUUCCCAAGAACUCGAGACCUUUUAAUCUCCACAGCAUUUAUGUGAAGAAACCAACGGGUUCUGAUAGAAAAUCAUGGGCUCAGAAGGAGCUUUUGGGGGCGAGAGAGAUCGCUAAAGCUUUGAAGGGGAAAAGGAGUUCCUCAUAUGAUAAUGGUGGUUCUGUUCUUGAGGAAUUAAGGAGUAAAAGGACUAGAAAGGAGGUCUCUUUGAGCAGUUUAGGACCUGCCAUUAAGAGGCACCGCAACAAUCUGAAAACGGCAAGACCAAAGCAGGAUGGUUCUGUUUUUGCUGGUGGAACGAGUGAGAAAGCGAGCACUAUAAGUGGUGUUUCGCACAGUUUGGAUAUUGCAAAGGGUAAGGCAAGACAUUUGGGAAAUGAUCUUACCUUAGCAUCAUCAAAAAGAAAAAAACGCCAAUCUCUGGAAGUUGGGUACUUAGAGAACUCGAGUGGGUUGGUUGACAGUGUAGUUAUACCAAAGCGACCACGAGGCAUCUCAAGGUGUAAAAAAUCUGAAGAUCCUGUCAGCUUGAAGAGAGCUACGAGUAACUUCAAAUGUGGUAAGAGCAGUGCAGAAGUUUGGAACAAGGAACCAUCCAUCAUUGCAGUUCCUCAGUCUCAGGUGUCAAAUGGUAGGCAGAGGAGGAAACUUAAUGAAUUUAAGAAAAGAUCCAGUAGAAAUAGUUAUGUUCCUCACAUUGAAGGUGGAAGUGCCAGUUCCAUUCAGGUUAGCAGUGGAAAGGUCCAAAAUAGAAGAAGCAGCAGCCCACAUGGGUCAAAGAGAUUAAUCUUGAGAAUGAAGCACCUUUGAUCGACAAUGAUGAGCCAUUUGCUGGGGAUUUUCAGGACGACGAUGAGGAGAACCUGGAACAAAUGCUGCCAGAAUGCUUUCAUCUCGGUUUGAUCCAAGGUGUACAGGAUUCUCAAGGAACAGGAUGUUGCUACAACAGAAUCAGCAAGCAGGUCAUCAUUAUUGCAAUCAUUUCAUCGGAAUUUGAAGGAUCCAGUGAUAGAAACUUCUCCUGUGGAUGCUGCAGGUUAGGGUGGUUGCGCCCAAGGAAAUGCAAUGGUAAAAGUUUUGUCAGGAAGCGUCGUCAUUUCUAUGAGGUCUGCUCUAAGGAUAUGGAUCCCUAUUGCAUUGUCAAACAGAGAAUUAAAGUAUUUGGCUCUGGACAGAGUUGGUAUUUUGGCUGGUUAAGGAUUAUGAUCCUAUAACAAAGUUGCACCAUGUCAAAUAUGAUAUCGUGAUGAAGAAUGGAUUAAUCUUCAAAAUGAGAGAUUCAAGCUGUUGCUUUUCCCUAGUGAAGUCAGAAGCAAGUUUUAAUUCUGAGAAUUCUGGGUUGGAACAGAAACUGAAGAGUAGACAAGUAGAGAAAGAUGCUAUGGAUGACAGUGGUAUAGGCAGCUUGAUGGAGUCGGAACCCAUUAUCUUGUGGUUGGCUCGGUCAACUCGCCGAGUGAAAUCAACCCCAGCUAAUAUCAUAAAGAAGCAGGGUAGAGCUAAUUACUUAAGGAUUUUGAGCCAUCCAUUUCGUUGGAGAUGAAGAAACACAUGGCUGUGAGUCCAUCUGAUUUGAGAUCAAAUAAAUUAUUUUCCAAAUCUGAUGUUUCAAAGAGGUCAAUGACAAGGGCAUUGCUGAAGCACCGGUGCUGAAGGGCAAAACUGGUUUCGAAGACAGAAGUUAUCUUAUGUUUAUUUCAGGAAGCGUUUUCACUAUAGAAAGGAUGGUUUGGGCAACAAUAUGCUGGAGCAGGACUUUGCUUGUGGUAGUUCAACUGGGGCAAUCAGCAUUCUUGCUUCUGCCACUGACAGGGCAACAGUUAUAGGACUGAAUGUAAUCAGCACAUCAGUAGAAGUGAACCAAGUUACAUUGAAACUGAGGUUGCCAAUCAGUAUGUUCAUGAGCUUGCAUUUGGAGCUGAAAGCUUUUGGCUGUGCCGGACCAUUUUCUCUGCAGUGUGGUAAACUGAUGCUUGUGUGGCCAAUGGUUCAUAUGGAAUUAAUUUUUGUUGAUGAUGCUCAAGGAUUAAGGAUUUUCUUGUUUGAGGGGUGUUAAAGUGGGCAGUAUCUAUACUGUGUGUAAUCAUUAGCACAUUUUAUCAACAUACUGAUCGAAGCAACUUCAUAGAUCUAGAUAUGCCUGCACUUCAAUUGGGUUCAAGAUUUCAGGCCUGCAUGAUCAAGGAGGGAGCUUUUAUCAUCUUAUACAGCUUCUUCAAGCUGAAUAAAUCGAAAUGGAAAUGCCUGGAAGAUAAACUUGAACUGCAUUGCAUGAAAGUGAGGGAGCUACCUGUAGCGGAGAUCACAUAUUCUACAUAAGAAUCUCCCAAGAAAAAGUGAUCAAAUACUCUGCACUUCGGUUUUUAAGGACCCAGCUUCCCUUGAGGAUUGCUCAGAAGGAUAUUGCUCAGAACCUCUGUACAGGGGCUUAUCCCCAAUAAAUUAUUUAUUUGAAUACAAAUCCUACAGUUUGUUACCUUGAUGAGAAACAUGUGGUCCUCUUCAAUGGCACCUCUUUCUUACCUGCUCUACUCUUCCUUUUUACUGAGUCAUCAAUGUCAAAUUUUCUGAUUGAGAACAAUGCAGCCUCCUGUUUUCUCUCAAAAGCCCCACUACAAUUUCUUCACAAGACCUCCAGAUAAUGGUGACCAAUUGGCAGCUGAUGGUUCCUCUCUUGUUCAGGAACCUUCUGACCAAGUUUCUGAAGUCACACAUGAGAACCGGGGAACCUGUUUGAGCCAGGCCUGCUGCCAAUUCUGGAAGGCAAGAAACAUAUGUUCUCUCUGCUACCAGUGAUAGUGACUGGAUGAAAUCCUCUCAUGACCUUCUCAUUACUGCUGGCAGUAAUGAAGGUUAAAGUGAUUGAAAAUUCUGUAGGUCAUGGAGAUGUGGAGAACAGCAGUCCAUGGGUGAGACUGUCAAUGUAACGUGAAAGGCUACAAUGCCAGAUGAGUCAUGGAAAGGUGCUGAUAAGUCAUCUUCUUCAUAUCCUGAAGAUUCUUUUUCCCCAGACAAGUCUGAAGGUGGGUGCAAUUCUUGUAUGUAAUGCUACCAAUGUCCAAGUGCAAUUGCUUGACCAAUGUGGAGGAGGGACAUUCAUUGGGUAAGAGAACACAAGCUGCUGAGCCUGCAUCUGAUCUGGGUCUGGGAAAUGAAUGAGCAUGCAAUAUAUAGUGCAAAUCCAACAGCUCCAGAAGCAUAUGGGCAUCGCAAUCGUCAUUCUUCAGUUUCAUGUGCAUUUGGUCACCAUGAAAAGUUAUGGCCAGAAGAUUUUGUGCAAAAUGGCUUUGCUAGUGGCUCCAAGAAGCCCUCGAACACAGGUAUCUUAUUCAUUGUCCUCUGGAGGCUGUGAACAUGGUUUAAAACCCCAAAGCAAUCACCCGCAAAGCACAUACCAUUAACAAAAUGAAAAACAAUAAUGUAAAGAGGUCUUCUGGUUUGCUUGGGAAAUCCUCGGAGCCUAUUGGGAGUCACUGACCUGUGAUGCAAAUGUCUUGGUUACGCUUUCAGAUAGAGGGUGGAGAGAAUGUGGAGCCCAGGUUGUACUUGAGUCUGAUGAUCAGCAGAAUUGGGAGGAUUGUGUAAAAUUUUCAGGGGGUUACCAAAUAUUUCCAUAAGGUACACCACUUCCUGCAGCCUGGGACAACAAAUCGGUACACUCAUGCUAUGAUGUGGAAAGGCAGGAAGGAUUGGACCUUGGAAUUUACUGACAGGAAUCAGUGGUCUUUUUUCAAACAAAUGCAUGAAGCAUGCUACAAUCGGAACAUUAGGGCUGCUCUGUUAAAAUAUUCCUAUCCCAGGUGUUUGCUUGACUGCAGAUUGUGAUGACACCAUUGUUGACAUGCUUUUGUUCGAAUCCAUCAAAUAUUUUCAGCAAGAUGUGACAGAGAUUGACAUGGCACUGGAUUCCAGCUCAAUGUGUAUAUGACAUGGAUAGUGGUGAUGAGGAGUGGAUAUUCAACAAGAAGAAAUUCUUCUGAUUCUAAUGAUGGUACAAUGAUUUGAGAUCCACACGGAAGAUUUGGUUUGAAAGGGUCAUGGACAUGUUUGAGAAAUUUGCAUAUGCUGAACAGCGUAAUGUGUUUACAAGUGAUGAAAUAGAGGAAUUCAUGGCUGAUGUUGGUCCACUAGAUGUUGUCCAAAGCUAUUCAUGAGCACUGGCAUCAAAAGAGACAGAAGAAAGCUUGCCUCUGAUUCGGGCAGUUUCAGCCUGCAUUAUGGGAGCUUUACAAGCAGCAAUUAAAAGAAUGGGAAUUAGCUAUGAGCAGAAUGCACAGCUCAUCUGAUGGGUGUCAAGAUAAGGCAUGUUUGCUCAAGAAACCUCCCAUGUUUGCUUUCUGUUUAAGGCCACGAGGCUUGGAAGUACCUAACAAAGGGUCUAAGCAGAGGUCUCAUAAAAAACUAAUGUUCACAGGCCACCAUAAUGCUUUUGCAAGAGAGCAGGAUGCUUUCCAUGCUCAUGGAAGAAAAUUGAAUGGACCUUUCAUUGGAGAGGAGAGGGCCUUAUUUUCUAUCCCGAGCUGUGAAUCUUCAGAUUCUUUUCAUUGGCAUCAGUCUCCAACCAGUUUCUCGCCAAGGGAUAGUGCAAGAACAGAAUCUCUGCUGACAAAUGAUGGUUUAGAGAGAUUUCCACACCCAAAGCUUAACAAAAGUAAUUCUAAGAAGAUGGUAAUGCUUCCAUCUCCCAAGGAUUCUGAAAUAACACCUUUCUCAUAUAAUCCAAAAUCAAAGAGAAAUGGACUUCACCGAUGGGGUCUUGACAUGCAUGGUUGGCCCAACACAAAGCAGUCACAGGGUGAUGGGUAUCCAAAUCAUCGAGCAGAUAUUGAUGAGUUCAGGUUGCGGGAUGCAUCAGGUGCAGCUCAGCAUGCGUCAAAUAUGGCUAAGCUUAAAAGAGAGAAAGCUGAGCGACUGCUGCACAGGGCUGAUGUUGCACUUCGCAGAGCCUUGGCUGCAGUUAUGACUGCAGAGGCAAUAAAAGCAUCUGAAAAGGAUUUGAUUGGUGAUUGGUGAAAUUGGAAAGAAUCAUGGGGCUUCUUGAGCAUAGGAAUAUCACACCUGAUUUUUAACACGUUCUACCAUUUUGCUGGACAAAGACUUUUCAUGGAGAUUGGCUCAUGUAUCUCCUUCAAGAAAGGACAUUUUAGUCAUAAAUGGUGGUUUCCAAGUGAACUUUUGCAUUGGGGGCUGUGCCGAGUCAGAUAAAAUGUUUUUGAGCUUUUGGUUCAGCUGCUUCGUUUAACCAUUUUAGCUUUCUGCUAUAGUUAUUGUCAUUAGACGGUGGAGUCUAUCACUCCAUUAAGUAGAUGGUGUAGUUUUUUUUGGUUGCUAAUCUUUUUGUACAGAAAAUUCUCCCUCUUCACUUCUACCUUAUUGUGGAAAAUGUUCUCAAACAAUAGUACAUUUGGCUCCGAAUUAUUAUACACAUGAUGGAAGUUUUCUUUCACAUUUGAUGCUCAAUUCUUAUCUGAUGAAUGAAUGUGGUGAUAUGUAGGGCCAUUUGGGCAGGUUCAAGUUUUGAAUGGCAGGUGAAGCAUAUCCUGCUGUUCUAGUGGCUAAUGCUGAUAUCUGCAACUGUUGUUCCAUGGAAGUCAGUUUUUGGUCUAUGUUCCAGCAAAUAUCAGGGCAUAUUUGAAAUUUCAGCUACUCUAUGUUGCAAAAAGGGCAGGAGGCAUGAGUUUGAUUGUUAACAUCAUGAGUUGGAGCUUGCUUAUCAUGAGUUUGAAUGUUAACAUCCUCAUAUCUGUAUUGUACCUGAAAAUGUCAUGUGUGUUCUGGUUUAGUAUGCAUGUAUAUAUAUACAUAUAUACAUAAUGCAUUUGGAGACUCGGCUUCAGGCUGGGCGAUUGCUGAAAAAUAUAGCCAGAGAUGUGGACAUGUUAUGAAUGUCAAAACUAAUACAUUAUUUUAUUUAA